AUAAGAAAAUAGAAUACAGCUUUGAAUGUAUUUCCAAUGUAGUGAAUUUUUGAAGUUGUAUCUGGUUGUAAACAGGGGCACUUCUGUGAUUUGAGGCUUCAUCUCAUCAUCAAUAAUGCCAGGUUUGCUAUUUUAAGUUACUGGAUUGUAAUAUCUUACUGAUUGGAUGUUUCUGAGAGUUCAAAAAUAGUUGGACAGUAAGUUUUAGAAAGGCCCACUCAUUCAAUGGUUAGGCUCACAAUGUGGGGUAAUUUGAAGAUAAUUCUCAUGUUUGAAUUGUCCAUGUGAUAUUUCGCAUUUACUCGAGUGUUACAAACUUGAGAUUUAAAACUUUCUGAAAGAAAGUUAAUAAUUGAAUACUAUCUGUUUUGGAGGCUAUGCAUUGCUGAUUUUGUUCAGGCCAUGACUGUCCAACAAGUUGAGGCACCUAUGGAUCUAAAGAAAGAGAUGGGAAGAUUAAUAUUUGAACAAAAGCUAGUGCAUUCAAAGGGCCUGUUUUCACCCAUGCAGAUGUCAACCCUGAUAUGGUGGUGAAGGCAAAGACUAUGUACCUAGCUCCAAUCAGGUGCAAGGAUGGGCUUUUUUCAUCAUUUGAGUUGAUGUUUUACAAUGGAAUUUGGUCGCUCCCUUUCCUGAUAAUCUUUAUAAUCUGUUCCACUUAAAUUGAGGUUGCUGCAUCAUUAGUUACUAGCAUUUGCAUGCUGUGGAUAUGGAUUUUUCAUUUUUACAAUGAUGCGUUGUAUAGGAAUCUGUUUGUUGGAAGUCAGAACCCACUCGAUGAAUCGUAGUUCAAAAGCUUGACAUGACUUAGAGGAGUUGACUCAGUCAGGUUAUAUCUAGACUUAGAGAAAAUCACAUUUCAGUCACAAACCUUAAAAAUUAA